AGAGUUUGAUCAUGGCUCAGAUUGAACGCUGGCGGUAUGCUUAACACAUGCAAGUCGAACGGAAACGAUGGUAGCUUGCUACCAGGCGUCAAGUGGCGGACGGGUGAGUAACGCGUAGGAAUCUGCCUAGUAGUGGGGGACAACCAGGGGAAACCCUGGCUAAUACCGCAUAAUCUCUACGGAGAAAAGAGGGCCUCUUCUUGAAAGCUCUUGCUAUUAGAUGAGCCUGCGUGAGAUUAGCUAGUUGGUGAGGUAAAGGCUCACCAAGGCGACGAUCUCUAGCUGGUCUGAGAGGACGAUCAGCCACACUGGGACUGAGACACGGCCCAGACUCCUACGGGAGGCAGCAGUGGGGAAUAUUGGACAAUGGGCGCAAGCCUGAUCCAGCAAUACCGCGUGUGUGAAGAAGGCCUUAGGGUUGUAAAGCACUUUCAGCAGUGAAGAAAUGCUUAAGGUUAAUAACCUUGAGUCUUGACGUUAACUGCACAAGAAGCACCGGCUAACUCCGUGCCAGCAGCCGCGGUAAUACGGGGGGUGCAAGCGUUAAUCGGAUUUACUGGGCGUAAAGCGCGCGUAGGUGGUUUGGCAAGUUGGAUGUGAAAGCCCCGGGCUCAACCUGGGAAUUGCAUCUAGAACUGGAAGGCUAGAGUAUGGGAGGGGGAGAUGGAAUUAGUGGUGUAGGGGUAAAAUCCGUAGAUAUCACUAGGAAUACCUAAAGCGAAGGCGAUCUCCUGGAACAUUACUGACGCUAAGGCGUGAAAGCGUGGGGAGCAAACGGGAUUAGAUACCCCGGUAGUCCACGCCCUAAACGAUGAACACUAGUCGUCGGGAAGCUUGUCUUCUCGGUGAUGCACUUAACAGAUUAAGUGUUCCGCCUGGGGAGUACGGUCGCAAGGUUAAAACUCAAAUGAAUUGACGGGGGCCCGCACAAGCGGUGGAGCAUGUGGUUUAAUUCGAUGCAACGCGAAGAACCUUACCAUCCCUUGACAUCCACAGAAGAGACCAGAGAUGGACUUGUGUGCCUUCGGGAAAGUAGUGACAGGUGCUGCAUGGCUGUCGUCAGCUCGUGUUGUGAAAUGUUGGGUUAAGUCCCGCAACGAGCGCAACCCCUAUCCUUAUUUGCCAGCGCGUAAUGGCGGGACUCUAAGGAGACUGCCGGUGACAAACCGGAGGAAGGUGGGGACGACGUCAAGUCAUCAUGGCCCUUACGGGAUGGGCUACACACGUGCUACAAUGGCAAGUACAGAGGGCAGCAAUAUCGCGAGAUGGAGCGAAUCCCACAAAGCUUGUCGUAGUCCGGAUCGGAGUCUGCAACUCGACUCCGUGAAGUCGGAAUCGCUAGUAAUCGUAGAUCAGAAUGCUACGGUGAAUACGUUCCCGGGCCUUGUACACACCGCCCGUCACACCAUGGGAGUGGGUUGCAAAAGAAGUGGCUAGUUUAACCUUCGGGAGGACGGUCACCACUUUGUGAUUCAUGACUGGGGUGAAGUCGUAACAAGGUAACC
rnacentral:rRNA from 1 species